GUGGGACUGGGCUAUAAAGAAGAUAUAUUGGCAAACAAAAGCGGGAGGCUAUUCGUUUUAAUUUUUUCAUUUGAAAGCAUGCUCUUACGAAAAGUUUUAUUAUACUAAUUCGGUACAUUGUAUCAUUACCCCGAAAGCAAACUCUUCAAGUUUGGAUAAACCCAUGUACUUGAGUUUGCUAAGUACAUACAUAUACUCGGAAGCUCUUCCUAAUUACGAUAACUUCAAAAGUGAUAAGGAACCUGCUCUAUUCUUUGUACAAACUAAUGCCAGAGGAGAGCACUUACCUUCCAAACUCCCUAUACGCUUUCCGAAUACGUCUGGUGUAAUAAAAACUCCCGACAUGUACAUAUGUAUGUACAUGCAAUCAAACAAUCCGCGCCAAUAUUUAAGAGCUGCACGGUAUUCAGAUCGUCGAAAUCCGUACGCCAGCUUGACCCCGGUACUCAGAUCGACAAGAUAAAUACCAGAAAAUUGCAAUGCGCUGUCAGAUUUUUCUGUGUGAACGAACGCCAGGCCCCGGCGUAAAGAAUAUGAAAUUUAAUAUUUUGAGGUUGGAGUUGGAAGAGCAUAGUAUUUGUCGGAUCAAAUAAUGAACGGAAAACUCAAAAAAAUUAGCAACAUGUACAGCAGUAAUACAAUGUUGACGACAAAAUAGUCCCGAUCCAUUUUGAUGUCACUUUUGUUGAACGCGGUCCAAAAUAUUGCUGAAAACAUGUAUAAUUUUACAUAGUUAAAUAAUAUAUAUACAUUUACAGUACAGAUAAUGAUUAACUAAAGUUGCAAGCUUCUGCGCCUUCUUUCCCAUCGUCCAUCGUCCAUCCCAUCUCCAAUCCCCUUCUCCGUUCCCUCACCGUUCACCAUAUCUGAAAAAACCACAACAAAUAGAUAAUGGUCUUAUUUAGCAGAACAACAUGAUCACUGAUCACUGAUGGAUUUUUUACGAUAGUUUUGCUAACCGUGUAUGAUCCCUGAUCAUGUUGCAAAAAUUCUUUCAUCAGAUCAGCAAAAACGGAGAAUAAAAACAUUUCGGCUAGCUUAUAUCUAUGGUGUAAGAAUCGAUAAGAAUAAACAGAAAAAUUAGAAUGUAAAUAAAACAAAAAUAAAAAACGAACAAAAAAGACAAAAAUUAAUUAUUAAUUAAUUAUAGUUCGACUUUUGUGUCAAGCUAACUUGUUGAGUUUAUUUCUGAGCUCCCGUAUUUAUUAAAAAAUUGUAAACAAAUUUGGUUUCUUUUUGUGUUUUCUCGGUUUUCUGAACUUUGCAACAUAAAUUUUGCAGGUCUUGUCCUUUCCUUUGGCAGGCCGGCUGCUAUGCUUAACCUUUAUUUUUGUUUUAUUUUUGUUCUUGUCCGGCUAAAAUGUUUUUCAAUUUCAAGCCGUCUCUGUUUACCUGUUGUAAAAGCAAUAUUGACCCCCAUGUGAGUAAGCAAUUGGAGUUAUUUAGUCUAUUUAGAGGCGAUUGAGAAACGUAGGCCCAAUACCUCUGUGAAUCGCAGCCUGAUUUAAAAGCUUGUCCUUAAACUUGCUUUGCCCCCGGCACGUAAUGCUUGGUUUACCUCGCGACCUUCUGUAUCCUCAAGUAUCCUCAUUCGCGCCAAAAUGUACUGUCCCCGCUAAGCCAGCCAAACGUUGAAUCUAUUCAACAACCUGCCCAGGACAGUCUUCUGAAAUUUAUUGAUAAGUUAAGGAAGCAGCAAGAGAAUGCUGCGAUGGCUCAACCGGCUGCAAUUGACAAACUGUUGGUACGCUUUGAUCAAAUGUUAUCGAUGAUGACGACGACGCUGCAUGAUGUUGCUGUGUCUGAACUUAAAAAAGUCCUUCGUUUGGCACUUGGGCCCACAGCGAUUCCGAGAUUGCUGAAGUUUUGCAGAUGAUUUGGAAAAUAGUUUAACUCCAUUUGACUUUGCAACAAGCCAAGAAAUCCAAACCACUCUCUCAUUUGGCCCUCCUGUUAAUGUGCGUCCAAUAGACAAGGGUGAGGUUCGUGAUCAUAAUAGGCGACUAAUUUCCACUAAGGCUUCUGGCAUUAACGCGAUUGAUGGAAAGGCCUGCCUAGCUCAGUCAUUACGCAGCUCUGCCAACUCUUGAUGCCCCCUAGACCUUGGUCAUGAUGGUACCAAAAAAAGAAAAGAAAACCCGAGCUCCCCAGAUUCCUAUCGGCCGAUUAGUCUCCUAUGCACUUUUUCUAAGAUUUUUGAACGGAUCAAGCUUGCUAGGCACUUAGCUAUAGCUGCGUUUGAUGAAGCACUUCCAGGCCACCAGUUUGACUUUCGUGUUUGCCAUUGUGCUGUUAAGCAAGUGCACAGAGUAGUAAAUCAUGUACUGGGUGCUUUGGAAGAACGCAAAUACUGCUCAGCUGUCUUUCUUGAUGUUCGCUUUGUUCGUCUUUGACAGGGCUUGGCACGAAGGUCUCUUUUCAAACUAAUGUCACUUUUGCCUGAGGGAUUAUGGAAGCUAAUCGUGACAUCCUUGGAUAAAACGGAGUUUGCUGUCGACAUCCGAGGAUAUCGCUCUGGACUACGCCCAAUUCGUGCUAGGGUCCUGUAUACGCACGCGGUACACUCCUGGCCACCCAUGCAGAUGACACUGCAUUUCUUGCAGUUGGUAGUACCCCAUCGAGUGUUUGUCUUCUCGCUGGAACAUUGCACUGAACGUCGACAUCACGACGUCACGAGGCACAGCCUGUGAUUAAUCUCUUAAAAAGGACGCGGGAGUGCCGACGGUUGCGGAGACAAUUUGUAGCUUUUCAAAUCGAUACAGAGAUCACUUGCCGGAUCACAGGAACCGUCUCUCUAGACGUCGUGCUACACCAUUGGGUCGACAACGUCUCCGCAGACGGCACCCAGCGGACCUGUGGAUUAUUGGCCGCGACAGACACGGGCGUCUCUUAUAACAACACAAGAACACUGACAUGCUUUUACCUGCCCUGCCCUUAAUACCCGAAUAUUUGGGAUCUUUGAACACUUCUAAGCAUACACGAAAACAAGGACCAUCCUUGUGUGACGUUAAAAUAAAAAACUACUUAAUUAUCAUAAGCGUUCAGCAAAAAAAAAAACUUGCUAAAUACGCCCAAUAACACCAAAAAUCUACCAAAAACUUAUGAUAAAAAAUAAAAAAUAAUGAAAGCCAUAA